rnacentral:rRNA from 1 species
GCAGCCUAAUACUGCAGUCGGACGGGAUUCAGCAGCUUGCUGUUGAUGAGAGUGGCGCACGGGUGCGUAACGCGUGAGCAACCUGCCCAUUUCAGGGGGAUAGCCCGGAGAAAUCCGGAUUAAGACCGCAUAUGAUCACGUUACCGCAUGGUAAAGUGAUGAAAUAUUCAUAGGAAAUGGAUGGGCUCGCGUGACAUUAGCUGGUUGGUAGGGUAACGGCCUACCAAGGCGACGAUGUCUAGGGGCUCUGAGAGGAGAAUCCCCCACACUGGUACUGAGACACGGACCAUACUCCUACGGGUGGCAGCAGUAANGAAAAAUUGGUCCCCCGGGGGGAUACCCGAACAAACCAUGCC